CAGCCGCCACGGUAAUACGUAGGUGGCAAGCGUUGUCCGGAAUUAUUGGGCGUAAAGCGCGCGCAGGUGGUUUAAUAAGUCUGAUGUGAAAGCCCUCGGCUCAACCGUGGAGGGUCAUUGGAAACUGUUAAACUUGAGUGCAGGAGAGAAGAGUGGAAUUCCUAGUGUAGCGGUGAAACGCGUAGAGAUUAGGAGGAACACCAGUGGCGAAGGCGGCUUUUUGGCCUGUAACUGACACUGAGGCGCGAAAGCGUGGGGAGCAAACAGGAUUAGAUACCCCAGUAGUCCCUGUCUCUUAUAC
rnacentral:rRNA from 1 species